rnacentral:rRNA from 1 species
GCUCAGGACGAACGCUGGCGGCGUGCUUAACACAUGCAAGUCGAACGAUGAACCUCCUUCGGGAGGGGAUUAGUGGCGAACGGGUGAGUAACACGUGGGCAAUCUGCCCUUCACUCUGGGACAAGCCCUGGAAACGGGGUCUAAUACCGGAUACGACUACCGACCGCAUGGUCUGGUGGUGGAAAGCUCCGGCGGUGAAGGAUGAGCCCGCGGCCUAUCAGCUUGUUGGUGGGGUGAUGGCCUACCAAGGCGACGACGGGUAGCCGGCCUGAGAGGGCGACCGGCCACACUGGGACUGAGACACGGCCCAGACUCCUACGGGAGGCAGCAGUGGGGAAUAUUGCACAAUGGGCGAAAGCCUGAUGCAGCGACGCCGCGUGAGGGAUGACGGCCUUCGGGUUGUAAACCUCUUUCAGCAGGGAAGAAGCGAGAGUGACGGUACCUGCAGAAGAAGCGCCGGCUAACUACGUGCCAGCAGCCGCGGUAAUACGUAGGGCGCAAGCGUUGUCCGGAAUUAUUGGGCGUAAAGAGCUCGUAGGCGGCUUGUCACGUCGGAUGUGAAAGCCCGGGGCUUAACCCCGGGUCUGCAUUCGAUACGGGCAGGCUAGAGUUCGGUAGGGGAGAUCGGAAUUCCUGGUGUAGCGGUGAAAUGCGCAGAUAUCAGGAGGAACACCGGUGGCGAAGGCGGAUCUCUGGGCCGAUACUGACGCUGAGGAGCGAAAGCGUGGGGAGCGAACAGGAUUAGAUACCCUGGUAGUCCACGCCGUAAACGUUGGGAACUA